UAGCUCACUGCCCACACCCCAUGGCCACGUGCACACAGCCAUAGUCCACACGGCUCUCACACGCCAACGUGUGAAAAGGGGUCAGGUCAGUGGUAGAGAGAGAUGGAUUGCGAGAGAAGCACGCUGUCUGCUGCUAUCUGCUGUUGCCAGAAACAGAGAGACGGAAGGCUUGAGUGAACGACGGCGGCGGUGAUAAAGAAGAGAAGGGGAGAGCGGGGAAAAGAUAAAGAUAUACCUCUUUUACGGUAGAAAACCGAAGAAGAAGGCAAAGACUCUCUGCGAAAAUCACGAAAAUGGUGAAGCCACCGCUGCAUCGUCGAAGAGAAAUAUCCGUCGGAGAGGCCCGGCCGCCGGCAAUGCCGAUCGACGGCGACCCUGAAAUGGUCUCUGAGCCGAAGCUUCAGGCACUGAGCCUUGUUCAUCCACAGAUCCACAUGCUCAAUCCAUUGCCCUACCAUGACUAUACCGAUCGAGUUCAGAGAGAAAGCGAGCCAGCGUGCGCGCGCGAGAGAGAGAGA